AUUGCUUCUCGGCCUUUUGGCUAAGGUCGACUGUAGUAUCUGUUCUCACCGGUUUACUAUCUGAUACGUCCUCUGUCCAAGGAUGUUAUAUUCGACAGACUUCUGGAGCUGCGGGAUGGAACAGGAGCUUGCUCCGUCCAGUCGCACAUCGACCCGGUCUCGCGGUACUUCUGGGAAUGUGCACAAAAA